GGCCGGGUCCCAUGCAGACCGACCCGUUAACCUGGUCAGGCGGGGAACCGAGCAGCCAUACGCGGUGUUUGGCCGUGCCGUGGCAAACCCGGCCGAU
rnacentral:SRP_RNA from 1 species